GGUCCCAUGGUGUAGGGUUUAGCACUCAGGAUUUUGAAUCUUGCAGCGGGAGUUAAAAUCUCUCUGGGACCU
rnacentral:tRNA from 1 species